GGAUUCCCAGGAAACCACCCAGGGUUCCCCGUUGGCUUCCCUUCCAUCUAAAGGCCUCCCCCAAGUUAGGAAUCGAUAUAGUUCUCCCCGGUGGUGAAGUCCACUUCCUCCUCCCUUCCCACUUCCCACAGCAACUGGGGGGACACCCCGAGGCAUUCACCAUGGGCUUUUCCACCCGCCUGCGAGCGGGAACCACCUCCGUAGUUUCCUCUCAGAGCCGGGCGUGGAGAGGGCUGGGCCUGCGAAGAGGAUGCAUGGCCUGGAGGCUGGCGGGCGGCGGGCUGGAGUCGGGAGGGCGAGGCGACAGCGCCAAGCGGCGAGGAAGGGCAAGGGGUUUCCCCACAACUGCCUUGGGCUCUGGGAGGCGGGAUCCCGCCUGGACGGGGUCCCUGAGGGAGGAGAGCGGCACACGACAGCCGCGAUGCCUUCCCUGCCGACGGGGAUAGCCGACUUCUGGCGAGUCGACCCCUCCCCCAAAUCCACCCCACCCGCGUACUCCCUCCUGACCUAGCUGUCGCGAGCCUGCCGCGAGGAGGCCAGGGUGAGGGUGGGAACACAUCCUAGAAGGCUAACACGUGGUUUUCUAUCAUUUAAGCCGGGGACAAGCCGGAAGGCUGACUAGCGCCAUCACUCUGAUAGGCACCCCGCAGUGGGGAUCCUGCUUGAUUAUUAAAGGCAGACCUCCAAGUUCCUCCCUGCUCUGCAACCUUUCUCUUCUCACGGGUCUGCAGUGUUUUAAAAGUCGUCAUUCUGUGUCGUUGAGUUAGAGAGGAAAACAUCGGAUAAAAGAGGAUCAAGAAGAACGAACCCUAGAUACAUCUGUCUGGUGAAAGGAGUCUAGGAAAAGAAGUUUCAUUCUUAGAACAAAUCUUUUUGGAUAUUUAUUAUGUGUGUUUUGUGUCAGGUUUCGGGCCAAAAAGCUGAAAUAAAGAACGAAGUCAAUAAUAAUAUGAAGUGUAUGAGAAAUAGCUGGAAAAUUCAUCAUCCAUGACUUGAAGAAAUUGACGUUUUACAAGUUAUAUUUUCGGUGAAGAGGCACUUUCAAGAUCCUUCUCUGAGACCUGCACCAAUAAGACUAUACCAAUGUUCAGUUGAAACAUCAGACACUGUUCUGGUUAUGAUGGACACCACAGUGAAAGAGACCUGGUCCCUGCCUUGAGGAAACCCAACUGCUGGUAGAGAGCUCAGAGUAAUGAUUAGGAUGCAAUAUGAGGGAUGCAGUAAUUGGGGCAAUUCCUAUGGCUCUAAUGCAGUAUCAGGCACUAAUACUUAUGUAUGAGCAAAAAUUGAUGAGGAUGAUCAUGUUUUAAUACACCAGUACAGACCAAAAUGCCUCUUUGGUAAUUUUCAGAUCUACUUCUGGGAACCGUCACAGCCUGAGAAAGAUGGCAUGCCCUGAAUGGAAUUCACAGAGAAUUAUUUUAAGUCAUGCUACUGGCCCCGCCCAGUUAUGUAACAACUUGCAUUUCCUCAAUUCUCUGGAAUGUGGCCAGUCAGGAACUUCCACAUUUGGUUUUUUUUUUUUCCCCCAUUUGUGGGUAAGAAAGUAAAAGAGGCAGGAAAACUGAAUUGAGAAAGAAGAAAGAAUAGGGGAAGAGAGAAAGAAAAAAGAAAACCAUGAAGCCUGGAAGAGGAGAAAGAAGAGAUAGAUGAGCAAAGAAGCACAUUGCCUGGUGGUAGUAAUAGUUGUCAGACACCCAUCUAUUAUAAUCUGUUUUCCAUGGGAGAUUUUAAGAAGAGGCUAGAUCCCCAGUCUGUCUUAAAAUCAAGAAAAGGGACUCUGUUGCCUCUAAAGUAUACUUCCAGACUCAGCAAUCUCUAAAUUCUGAGUGGGGCAUCCCUAGUUUUGCUGCCUAAAAUCUAUGACAGUUGGAAAUGAUUCCAUUUAAGAUCCAGUUCAAGAAGCUAUACACCCUGAGGAACUUUAUAUUGCCAUUUAGAGGACCGAUAUUCUCCAGAUUGCUUGAGCCCAGGAGUUUGAGACCAGCCUGGGCAACAUGGCAAAACUCCAUCUCUACCAAAAAAAAAAAAAAAACAAAAUUAGCUGGGCAUGGUGGUACACAUCUGUAGAACCAGCUACUCUGGAGGCUGAGCUGAGAGAACCCCUUGAGCCUAGGAGAUGGAGGUUGCUGUGAGCCAAGAUCGUGCCACUGCACUCAAGCCUGGGUGACAGAGCCAGACCCUAUCUCAUAAAUAAAUAAAUGUCAAUAUUCUCCAAAA
ensembl:lncRNA SMG7-AS1 SMG7 antisense RNA 1